rnacentral:rRNA from 1 species
CACGUAGGGCGCAAGCGUUGUCCGGAAUUAUUGGGCGUAAAGAGCUCGUAGGCGGCCCGGUAAGUCCGCUGUGAAAGUCGGGGGCUCAACCCUCGAAUGCCGGUGGAUACUGUCGGGCUAGAGUGCGGAAGAGGCGAGUGGAAUUCCUGGUGUAGCGGUGAAAUGCGCAGAUAUCAGGAGGAACACCGAUUGCGAAGGCAGCUCGCUGGGACGUCACUGACGCUGAGACGCGAAAGCGUGGGGAGCAAACAGG